AGAAUCAACGCUGGCGGCGUGCCUAACACAUGCAAGUCGAACGGGAAAGUGGAGCAAUCCAUGAGUAAAGUGGCGCACGGGUGAGUAACACGUGACUAACCUACCCUUGAGUGGGGGAUAACCUAGGGAAACCUGGGCUAAUACCGCAUAAUACCUUCGGGUCAAAGGAGCAAUUCGCUUAAGGAGGGGGUCGCGGCCGAUUAGUUAGUUGGCGGGGUAAUGGCCCACCAAGACGAUGAUCGGUAUCCGGCCUGAGAGGGCGCACGGACACACUGGAACUGAAACACGGUCCAGACUCCUACGGGAGGCAGCAGUGGGGAAUUUUGCGCAAUGGGGGAAACCCUGACGCAGCAACGCCGCGUGGAGGAUGAAGUCCCUUGGGACGUAAACUCCUUUCGAUCGGGACGAUAAUGACGGUACCGGAAGAGAAGCCCGGCUAACUCGUGCCAGCAGCCGC
rnacentral:rRNA from 1 species